AGAUCGUUCAAUUUUUUAAUCGGACGAAUUAAAAUGAGUCAAUAUAUGCAAGAUCAGUGCAUUAAUCAAAAGAGUUCACGCGUCUUCUUUGGCAGAAGCAUGCGUAGCUCUCUUUCCAAAACAACACUCCCCUUCUCCUCUUUCCCUUCUAUCCACCAUACUCAAAUUAGAGACCUAGGUUUAGGCCGCGUCACCACGUCUUCCACCUACCCACACGAAUCUUCCAUUUUUAUCACCCCAAGUAAGCAAAUAGCCAAAAAUCAGAGAAAAUCAAUCCCUAGUUUGUGCAAAAAUGAAACUUUCUAAGGAUUUGCAGUUAAGGCUUGAUAGAAGCUGAAAUUUUCACAGAUGGAUGUCAUAAUUUUGAAUUCAAAUCUCAUCUCCAUAAAAUGUGCUUCAAAUCCGGAUUUUGGCUAUAAAUAGCCCCAAAAUCGCCAUCAUCAAGGACAGGUUGGAGAUUAAAGGAAAAUCGAACUACAUUCACAAAAGUUUCCUAGAAUAUUCACAAAAGGGGUUGUUAGUUUCUUCUCUUAAUUUUGGUGUUUGAUCGAGUCCUGAAAUUAGAGGUUUGGUGGCCGGAAUACUCGAUAAGAAGCCCGAGUUUGCUGCGCAAUACAAGAAGAUUUGUAAUAGGAGAUAUCUUAAGGAAAGCAUAAUGUGGCUUCUCUAAUGCACUGUUGUCUUAAGUCUAAUGGAAGUUGUAUGCAUUACCUUGCCAAGAAAUUAAAUAAAGAUUGUCUUCUCCCCCUUGUUUUGCUUCAAAUCAAACAAAGGAGACAACUGCUGCUUUGCUCUAUAGUUCAAUACAAUUAUUUAAUGCCUUUUCUUUAUUAGGGUCAAAUUCAGGUGCCUUCCUUGAAAGAUUUUUUAUCACUUACUAAACAUCCUAAAAUUUUUAUACGUUUUCCUUAAGCCAAGGAUCUAUCUGAAAGAGCCUCUAUACCUUCACGAGAUAGGGGCAAGGUCUUCGUAUACUUUACUCUCCCCAAACUCCAUCACAUUGUUAUGUUAUUUUGUGUUAGAUAUACUAUCAUUAUCAGUUGUCUGUUGCCUUUGGAAAAAAAAGCCCAUUCUACUAAGUGCCUUCGUGCAUUCUGCAUAACUCAAAUUCUUAUGGGUACUCCAAUGAAAAACAAAAUAAUAAAUGCUUCCUUUGUAUUUUUGAUGCAUGAACAACUUUUUAUGUCUGUUGUGUUUCUUUAUUGGUUUAUAAAACUAAAAGAAAUAGCCUGCUUUCUGUCUAAUCCUAAACUACCCAGGUAUGCAAGUUGAUUACAAUAAAGAAUUUUUUUUAAGUGCUUAAAACUAUUAUGGCUUAAGUUUUUUUUAUGUUCAAAAUAAUGGUGUUUGGUUUUCUCUUUCUUUAGUGGGUUUGUUUGAUAAGUUUUUAAAAGCCUUUCUUAUUAUAAUAUGGUAGUGGGUGUGCACAUUGUUCUCUGUACAGUCAUACGUGUGUAUUUUUGAAACCAUGUUUGUCCAUUGCGUGUAAUAUUUUAAGUUCAUAUCUAAUGUUUGUAUUUUCUGUAUUCCAUUCAUUUAUUAAUUAGUUUUUUUCAAUGCUUAUCUUUUAUUUUUCAUGUAAAUCUCGGGAGUUGGAGUUUCACAUCGAAAUUUCAUUCGGACCCAAAUAUCGGGUUAGCUACUAGGAUGAUUGCAAAGUAUCGGAGUCGUGUAAACUAGAAGCUCGAAUUUCAUUAGGAAUCUAGUAUCUCUUGAUCCUUGCUCCUUAUUUAAUAUCUUGGUUCUAUGUUAUCCCUCUGAAAAACUUGAAAUGGUAUUUAAUUAUUGGCUAUUGAACCUUUUGUUA